rnacentral:rRNA from 1 species
AUACGUAGGGUGCAAGCGUUAAUCGGAAUUACUGGGCGUAAAGCGUGCGCAGGCGGGUUUGUAAGUCAGUGGUGAAAUCUCCCGGCUCAAACUGGGAACUGCCUUUGUGACUGCAAGGCUAGAGGUCGGGAGAGGGGGAUGGAAUUCCUGGUGUAGCAGUGAAAUGCGUAGAUAUGAGGAGGCACACCGAUGGCGAAGGCAAUCCCCUGGGCCUUUACUGACGCUCAUGCACGAAAGCGGGGGGAGCAAACAGGAUUAGAUACCCUGGUAGUCCACGCCCUAAGCGAUGCCAACUGGUUGUUGGGUCUUCAUUGACUCAGUAACUAAGCUAACGCGUUAAGUUGACCGCCUGGGGAGUACGGCCGCAAGGUUGAAACUUAAAGGAAUUGACGGGG